CUGGGCUCCGAUCUGGGUGUGUGACUUCCGGAGAGCCCAAUGGCGAGGAGGGGGGGGGGGCGAUUACGGCAGGCUCGAGCUCGGCACGAGCGCGGCCGGCGUGAGGAAUUGUGGUCGCCUCUCCCCGGGUCACCAGAAUCCCCACAGACCUUGGAGAUGAGGAGCGCUGGAAGAUUGUGGCCUGGCCAUCCCUUACGUCAUGAAAGUGAUUUGUGCCACAUUGCUAAUUUGGUGCAAUCCAUAACCUUCUGAUCUCCUGUGUUUGUAAUUGCUUUUCAGUUUGCAGAAUAUGUUUUCUCUGACAUAGUUCUUGAAUACAGAAAUUACUAUUGCUCACCUGUAUGUAAGAAAUCAUGUUCCCCAAUGUUUGUUGCUUUACCUUUGUUUAAUUAAAAAUGCACAUUUUAGGAUUCUUUCAGAACAAAGCUUUGCCAAAUCCCCUUUACAUCCAAGGAUUUGAAAAUGUAUAAAGGCUGCAUUGAAUUCAGGAUGGGUCAAGGGGCAAAAAAAGGGUAGAAGGUCACUGCAUAUUGAUUGUGGGUCAGUAGACAACAUGGCAUGUAGUAUGUGUCCAAAAAUCCCCUUAAAAACUGUAUUUAAAAAACAAGAUUAUCAACAUCUGCUGUGUUAUUUUGUGAUUUUACUGAAUUCCAGACAUUUCUGGUGUGUGUGAUACAUCCACAUGGAAAAAUAAAACUUUAAAAAUGCUGAACAAAACU